UCGAUGCAAAAGCAAGGUCAUGAGUUUUCAUUACCUCUCGCGCCAUGUCCAGAGAAGAUACUACGACCAUAGAAGUUUCGCCUAGUUGAAGGUGCAUGAAAGGUCCAUAUUUUUUGCCCAAGUUUGUGAGUGCAUGAUGAGGAAGUCCACCUUCUAAUGCCAAGUGAUGAAGACUUCCUAAGAAAGGCAAAUUCCAUGGUCCUGGAGGAAGUUUCUUGUUAAAGUUUCUUGAUUUUUUCCAUUCUACAAGUAGUAGAUAGAGGAAUGAUAGGAAAAGGAUUAAGAAAAUGAAGUUGAAUGGAAAUUGGAUCUCCAUUAGAGCAAAGGCAAAGAGAGGGGUGUCACAAUUUUCAAGUUCAAAGCUUUAUUUGUAUAGGCUUUCUUUUGCAUGGCCUACUAUAUAAAAGCUUCUUGUAUAACUGUAUAUGUGACCCAAAAAAUAAUCAACAAAAUCGGCGGAAUGUAUAUGUAAUGUAUCGUUAUUCUAAAUAAUAGACAGUUGUGUAUAUAUAUAUAUAUGAUGUAUAACUAUAUAUCAGAGAUGUAUAUACAUCCAUAUAUGCUGUUUAUACAAUAUUCAUACAUAAUACCAGUUCAUCUUCCUCCACGAACUGAUUUUUAGUCAGUUUUUUAUAAAGUGCAGACACUCUAACGAUUUGGGCGCUAAUUACAUUCUAUCUCGAAAGUUUCUCAACUUACAAAUAAUUUUGGAUUUUUCAGAACUCAUGGAUACGCUACUCCUUCGCUCGAUACAUAGCAAAUGAUGCAUAAGUUAUAUAUCGGAUACAUAACUAUAAACAAGAUUUAUACGAAUUUAGGUUUGAAAUAAUUAAAGUUGUGUAUAAACAAUAACAUGUGUACCAGAUACAUUGUACACAAACAAAGUUAUAAUGUAUCUAAUAGAGGUGAAGUGAUGUAUAGAUGUUAAGAGAGAAAGAAGGGAAAAUGAAUUUUUGUAAUUAAUUCAAAUGAUAAAGAUUUUUUUAAAGAUUAUGUUAUCUUAAGUCGUGUAAUUAUGUAAUUUUCUCGUAAUUUUUCCCUACAAUAAAAUAAUUGAUUUGCACUUUGUAGACAUCCUAGCUCAUUAAUUUUUUGGAAUUUGUAUUUGAUAAUUUGCUUUCUUUUCUAUUUCUAGAAAAACCAACAAAGUAGGAAAACACACAAUAAGAUGUAAAUUUUUUGUCUUGUUGAAAGUGAGAUUAGAAAUCAUGUCGUGGAGAAGGACCUAGAUAUAACGUGUUACAAUGAUAUUCUACGUGAUUUUUUUUGGAACAAAAAAUUAAAUUGAAUUACUACCUAAAAUGAGGCUACAGCCUACAUAUAUUAAUUAUAGCUCAACCAGUUUUCUACUAUUUUAAAAAAGAUUUUUAAAAAAAAUAUGUGUUGUUUCUAAUUUAGAUUUUAGUAAAUCAACUAGUGACUUUAGUAAUUUCUUUUAGUUAUAUUUUAUUUUUAACUAGCUAGCUUUUAAUUAAUAUUUUACUAUUCUAUAUUUCCUUCGAGGGGAAAAUAAAAUAAGAUAAAGCAUAUAAUCCAAAAGUCCAAAAAUACCACGUAACACAAACUCAACACACAAGAAAUUGAAAUUCAAAAGCUAAGAGAGGGGUCAUGCAUGUAUAGGUUUUAAUUCUUCUGGCAUAAUAUAUAAUCCUAAUGUCAGAAAGAAAAUGAUUUGCAACAAAGGUUUUUUUCUUUUAUAUAUAUAUAUAUAUAUAUAUAUUUGAUAAGUAAACAAAAAAAUAUUGUAAAAUUUAGAAGAUAUUCUGGGAUAAGAUUGGGUUGGGAUUGGGGGUUGGAAAGAUAAAGUCUCCAUGUAAUGUCACUUACUAGUUACGGACUACGAUACGGAUCUUGUUUUCCUUAUUCAAGAAAGUCAUAUUUCAUUAUUUUCUUUUAAGAACUAUUUUUCUAUAAAAAAUUAUGUUUUGAAAUAUACGCAUGAUUUUGUAUAAGUGAUCAAUAUUGAUUAUUGAGUAUCGACCUAUUAUAACAAUUCAUUUUGUAAUUAAAUGAGUUUUGAUCUAGAAAGAUAGGUUCAUGAUGCUUACUUUCUAACUAGCUAGAUACUAACAAAUGACUCAGUCGUGUCAUCUGUUAAAAUUUAGGUUUAUUUAUGCUAUUACUGUGAUACAUUUGUGCCAUUAACAAAUAAUUAGAUUUUUUCACGUGACAUUAUUUAAACCUUUUAUUAUAUACAUAGAAACUUGAAACAAGAUGACACAAAUAUCAUUAAACACAUAAAAUAUCAUUCAUGAGAAGGAUAAUAAGGAGUGGCAAUCAAGUAAAACUCACUCUUUCUUGUUGCAGUUAUUCCAGAAAACUCAGUCAUGUCCACAUCUUCAAGCUUCACACCAUCAGGUAAUUUCCAAUCAAAAUGAUAUAACAAAUUAGCGAGUGGAAGAUAAACAUUGAUCAAACCAAAUGUAAUCCCAGGACAUAUUCUCCUUCCGGCACCAAAAGGAAGAUAUUCAAAGUUAUUUCCCAUAAAAUUCACUGAGCUUUGCUCGAAUCUCUCAGGGAUAAAUCUUUCCGCAUCUUCCCAAUACUUUGGGUCCCUCCCCAUCGCAUAAACGUUAACAAUGACUCUUGUUUUUAAAGGGAUAGUGUAACCAUUGAUGUUUGUUUCUUCUCUACAUUCUCUAGGGAUUAAGAGAGGGAGCGGAGGAUGAAGUCUAAAGGUUUCUUUAACAACUUGUUUUAAGUAUUUCAAUUCUUCAAUAACAUCUUCAUUGAAAGUUUCUUUUCCUUUGAAUGCUUCUCUUACCUCAGCUUGUGCCUUUGCUAAUACACUUGGGUUUCUUAUCAUUUCUGUCAUGGCCCAUAUUGUUGUUGUUGUUGAAGUUUCUGUUCCAGCAGAAAACAAGUCCUACAUUUCAUUAAUAAUCAAAGAAGAAUUAACAUAAAUAGCCAUGUAUAAUAUGUUGUAACACCGAGACAAACCUUGAAAUAUGAAUAUUUGUAGACAUUGAAAUUUUAUAGAACUUUACAAUACGAGUUCAGUUUCAAUUAUGGUUCUUGAAAGUUACUCUAUCCUAAGCCCUAACACAUGCCCAUAUAAAAGGUAAUAUACUCAUACAUUUAUAAAAGGUAAUAUAUUUUCUUGAAUAUGCAUCUAAAAAAUUACAUAAAUUCAUGGAAUAUUCACAAAGAUCAGAACAAGAUGUGACCGAACUCUUCUUGAUCAAACUCUUCUUGAUAACUAAAUACUUCAAGAAGAUCUACAAAUUCGUUCAUGGAGAUCAAAUAAAUCUCAAGGAGGUCCAUAUCAUCUUAGUUUGAGAAAUAUGCUACUAACGAUCCUUGAAUCACGAAGUAAUAUUAGAACAGAAGAAUCACAAAAUAAACAAAUUUGUAUCCACAUUAUUUUAUCAAUAAAAUUAUAUUUUUUCAUAUAUUUUUUUUCUGAGUACAAUUUAUUUUAUAUCACUUUAAAUUUGUUGCAAACACAAAUUGAUCAAAAAAAAAUCCGGGAAAACAAGUAUCACAAUAGUGGUAUACAACAUUAAUUAUAUUAUUCCUAUAAUCCCAUCCCCACCAUCUCACACACUACCUCCACUCCACCCCUUUCUCCCAUUAUAUUUGUCUAAAAUUUAAAUAAAUGUUUUUAGGAUAAUAUGAAACACAAGAAAAUAAAAAAUAAAUUCCCUUAUUUUCCCUAAAAAAUCACUUUUCAUGAAAAAAAUUCUUUUGAACAGAUUUAAUUAUAAGUAAGAAUACUUACAAUGAUAAUUGCUUUAAUGUUGUCAUUGGUGAUUGGAAUUUUAAGUUCCCCACUCUCCUUUAAUCUUAGUAGAAAAUCAACUAAAUCUUCACCUCCAAAUGCACCAUUUCCCUUUUUACCACUUGCAAUAUUCUUCUUGUGCUCAUUGAUAAUAUCCUCAACAAUAACAUCAACAUUUUUGUGAACUUUCAUAAUUCUACUCCUCAAUCCACUUAACACAUGAAGGAUCUUGAUUGAAGGAAAAAUAUUAGCCACACUAAAUCCACCAGUCAAUUCCGCCAAUUCCCUCACUAUUCCAAUGAAUUUCUCUUGAUCUUUCAACAAUUCCCCAAAUGCUGCUUUGCAUGUAUUUGAGCUCUCGUACCAUGAAAUCCGUUCCGUAACGUUUAUCGUCUCGCCACGUGGUGAUGACCCGAUGAAUUGCACGAGGCUCGAAGCCUCCUCUCUCCUGAUGGAACUAAAGGACCGUACGUUCUUGGCACUGAAAAGUUCCAAGAAACAUAUUUUACGCAUCUGUCUCCAGUAAUCUCCAUAAGGACUAAACACAAUGUCUGUGCUAUUAUAACAUAUCACGUCGAGGGAUACUAGUUUAGGCCUCGAUGCAAAAGCAAGGUCAUGAAUUUUCAUUACCUCUCGCGCCAUUUCCAAAGAAGAAACUACGAUUGUAGAAAUUUCGCCUAGUUGAAGGUGCAUGAAAGGCCCAUGUUUUUUGCCCAAUUUUGUGAGUGCAUGAUGGGGAAGUCCACCUUCUAAUGCCAAGUGAUGGAUACUUCCUAAAAAGGGCAAUUUCCAUGGGCCUGGAGGAAGUUUUUUGUUUAAGUUUCUUGAUUUUUUCCAUUCCACAAGUAGUAGAUAGAGGAAUGAUAGGAAAAGGAAUAAGAAAGUGAAGUUGAAUGGAAAUUGAAACUCCAUUAGAUAGCUAAAGCUAAGAGAAG
rnacentral:lncRNA from 1 species